UGAAGGGAAAAGAAGAAAAAGGCAAGCGGAUUCGAGGAGGGGGGAAAGAGUGGAAAGACGUUCCACCGUGACGUGCGAGAUAAUAGUUUGCCUCUAGGCAGGGCGUAUUUUUCUCUCUUUCUUUUUUGAGGUUCUUCUUUAUUACUCUUGAUUGGUGUGAUUUUGUAGAAUAGACAAGGGAGAGAGUUACAGAA
rnacentral:ribozyme from 1 species